rnacentral:rRNA from 2 species
GGGUUGUGAGGUUAAGCGACUAAGCGUACACGGUGGAUGCCCUGGCAGUCAGAGGCGAUGAAGGGCGUGCUAAUCUGCGAUAAGCGCCGGUAAGGUGAUAUGAACCGUUAUAACCGGCGAUACCCGAAUGGGGAAACCCAGUGUGAUUCGUCACACUAUCAUUAACUGAAUCCAUAGGUUAAUGAGGCGAACCGGGGGAACUGAAACAUCUAAGUACCCCGAGGAAAAGAAAUCAACCGAGAUUCCCCCAGUAGCGGCGAGCGAACGGGGAGGAGCCCAGAGCCUGAAUCAGCAUGUGUGUUAGUGGAAGCGUCUGGAAAGGCGCGCGAUACAGGGUGACAGCCCCGUACACAAAAGCGCAUGUGCUGUGAGCUCGAUGAGUAGGGCGGGACACGUGGUAUCCUGUCUGAAUAUGGGGGGACCAUCCUCCAAGGCUAAAUACUCCUGACUGACCGAUAGUGAACCAGUACCGUGAGGGAAAGGCGAAAAGAACCCCGGCGAGGGGAGUGAAAAAGAACCUGAAACCGUGUACGUACAAGCAGUGGGAGCCCCACCACUAAGCCAGUGGUGAACUCCACAUCCGCAUCCUUUGCUGAGGAUACGGUUAACGGAGCGAAAGCGACGUUCAACCGCAAAACAAGCAGAGGGGGCUUAGUGGUGGGGUGACUGCGUACCUUUUGUAUAAUGGGUCAGCGACUUAUAUUCUGUAGCAAGGUUAACCGAAUAGGGGAGCCGGAGGGAAACCGAGUCUUAAUUGGGCGUUAAGUUGCAGGGUAUAGACCCGAAACCCGGUGAUCUAGCCAUGGGCAGGUUGAAGGUUGGGUAACACUAACUGGAGGACCGAACCGACUAAUGUUGAAAAAUUAGCGGAUGACCUGUGGCUGGGGGUGAAAGGCCAAUCAAACCGGGAGAUAGCUGGUUCUCCCCGAAAGCUAUUUAGGUAGCGCCUCGUGAAUUCAUCUCCGGGGGUAGAGCACUGUUUCGGCUAGGGGGCCAUCCCGGCUUACCAACCCGAUGCAAACUGCGAAUACCGGAGAAUGUUAUCACGGGAGACACACGGCGGGUGCUAACGUCCGUCGUGAAGAGGGAAACAACCCAGACCGCCAGCUAAGGUCCCAAAGUCAUGGUUAAGUGGGAAACGAUGUGGGAAGGCCCAGACAGCCAGGAUGUUGGCUUAGAAGCAGCCAUCAUUUAAAGAAAGCGUAAUAGCUCACUGGUCGAGUCGGCCUGCGCGGAAGAUGUAACGGGGCUAAACCAUGCACCGAAGCUGCGGCAGCGAACGUAUCACCCAAGACAACUUUACGGAGUUGACGAUUGACGGAGCGAAGCGACGUCAAAGCGUUCAUUAAAGUCGAGUUGGCUUAGGGAUACGUUCGUUGGGUAGGGGAGCGUUCUGUAAGCCUGUGAAGGUGUGUCGUGAGGCAUGCUGGAGGUAUCAGAAGUGCGAAUGCUGACAUAAGUAACGAUAAAGCGGGUGAAAAGCCCGCUCGCCGGAAGACCAAGGGUUCCUGUCCAACGUUAAUCGGGGCAGGGUGAGUCGACCCCUAAGGCGAGGCCGAAAGGCGUAGUCGAUGGGAAACGGGUUAAUAUUCCCGUACUUGGUGUUACUGCGAAGGGGGGACGGAGAAGGCUAUGUUGGCCGGGCGACGGUUGUCCCGGUUUAAGCGUGUAGGUGUGUGUUCCAGGUAAAUCCGGUUCACUUUAACACUGAGGCGUGACGACGAGGCACUACGGUGCUGAAGCAACAAAUGCCCUGCUUCCAGGAAAAGCCUCUAAGCAUCAGGUAACAUCAAAUCGUACCCCAAACCGACACAGGUGGUCAGGUAGAGAAUACCAAGGCGCUUGAGAGAACUCGGGUGAAGGAACUAGGCAAAAUGGUGCCGUAACUUCGGGAGAAGGCACGCUGACACGUAGGUGAAGUGAUUUACUCAUGGAGCUGAAGUCAGUCGAAGAUACCAGCUGGCUGCAACUGUUUAUUAAAAACACAGCACUGUGCAAACACGAAAGUGGACGUAUACGGUGUGACGCCUGCCCGGUGCCGGAAGGUUAAUUGAUGGGGUCAGCGCAAGCGAAGCUCCUGAUCGAAGCCCCGGUAAACGGCGGCCGUAACUAUAACGGUCCUAAGGUAGCGAAAUUCCUUGUCGGGUAAGUUCCGACCUGCACGAAUGGCGUAAUGAUGGCCAGGCUGUCUCCACCCGAGACUCAGUGAAAUUGAACUCGCUGUGAAGAUGCAGUGUACCCGCGGCAAGACGGAAAGACCCCGUGAACCUUUACUAUAGCUUGACACUGAACAUUGAGCCUUGAUGUGUAGGAUAGGUGGGAGGCUUUGAAGUGUGGACGCCAGUCUGCAUGGAGCCGACCUUGAAAUACCACCCUUUAAUGUUUGAUGUUCUAACGUGGACCCGUAAUCCGGGUUGCGGACAGUGUCUGGUGGGUAGUUUGACUGGGGCGGUCUCCUCCUAAAGAGUAACGGAGGAGCACGAAGGUUGGCUAAUCCUGGUCGGACAUCAGGAGGUUAGUGCAAUGGCAUAAGCCAGCUUGACUGCGAGCGUGACGGCGCGAGCAGGUGCGAAAGCAGGUCAUAGUGAUCCGGUGGUUCUGAAUGGAAGGGCCAUCGCUCAACGGAUAAAAGGUACUCCGGGGAUAACAGGCUGAUACCGCCCAAGAGUUCAUAUCGACGGCGGUGUUUGGCACCUCGAUGUCGGCUCAUCACAUCCUGGGGCUGAAGUAGGUCCCAAGGGUAUGGCUGUUCGCCAUUUAAAGUGGUACGCGAGCUGGGUUUAGAACGUCGUGAGACAGUUCGGUCCCUAUCUGCCGUGGGCGCUGGAGAACUGAGGGGGGCUGCUCCUAGUACGAGAGGACCGGAGUGGACGCAUCACUGGUGUUCGGGUUGUCAUGCCAAUGGCACUGCCCGGUAGCUAAAUGCGGAAGAGAUAAGUGCUGAAAGCAUCUAAGCACGAAACUUGCCCCGAGAUGAGUUCUCCCUGAGACUUAGAGUCUCCUGAAGGAACGUUGAAGACGACGACGUUGAUAGGCCGGGUGUGUAAGCGCAGCGAUGCGUUGAGCUAACCGGUACUAAUGAACCGUGAGGCUUAACCUUACAACGCCGAAG